CAGUAGCCGCGGGAAUACAGAGGGUGCAAGCGUUAAUCGGAAUUACUGGGCGCAAAGCGUGCGCAGGCGGUUCGUUAAGACAGAUGUGAAAUCCCCGGGCUUAACCUGGGAACUGCAUUUGUGACUGGCGAGCUAGAGUAUGGCAGAGGGGGGUAGAAUUCCACGUGUAGCAGUGAAAUGCGUAGAGAUGUGGAGGAAUACCGAUGGCGAAGGCAGCCCCCUGGGCCAAUACUGACGCUGAGGUGCGAAAGCGUGGGGAGCAAACAGGAUUAGAUACCCGCGUAGUCCCUGUCUCUUAUAC
rnacentral:rRNA from 1 species